rnacentral:lncRNA from 1 species
AAUGUGUUGCACAGGCUGACCUCAAACUUGCAAUCUUUCUGCCUCCGUCUCUUGAGUUCUGAUCACAAGUGCUAUUGGCAUUUUAAACUUUCUUCUAGUUUUCCUUUUCCUUCCUGCAUACAUAACAUUUUAGGGAGUGAGCUCAUCUAACAUGUAAUCUGCCUUUUUUCCUUAACAUACCUCUGCACAGCAGUAAAAUAGAUGGCGUGAACUCUUUCCACUAAAAUAAAGAGAAGCUCAACUGCAUUUCUUACUCUAAAAAUAAUAGUGUAUUUGAACUUGUGGUCCUCCUGCCUCCAAAAAUAAAAAUAAUAUGCACUUGAUAGAAAAGGUUUCAUAAAAUAUAGAAAGAGGAAAAGUAGAUAUUGUCCAUAAAUUUGCCAUAGAUUGGUAGCUAACAGCUGAAUAAGAUUUUUAUAGUACUAUUUUUGGUCCCCACAUAUCAUUUCAAUGUCAUUUUAUAACUUGUCAAGACUGUGCCAUCAGUAAGUGACAUUUCUAUUGUUUCUGCCUUUUCAUUACUCUGAAAUGAUGAUGUAUCAGCAAGCCAGUGGAACCACCUCUACCUGUACCCAAACCUUCCGAAGUCUCAAAUGUAAUGAGUUCUUUAGAUAUACUUGAGUUGCCCAUUAAACUUAAAGUCCUAAACAUAAUUCUUAACUUCCUCUUUAACCUUGUUCCAUCUGCUCUUUACUCCAUUUUAGGAAAUAAUACCAAUAUCUAACCAGUUAAUCCAGAUUCAAAGAGUCAGUCUUGAUUCUGCUCUUUCUUUCACCAUCUUUUAAUAGCACUUCAUAUGAGUCAAGCUGCUUCUCAUCAUUUCCACUGCCAAGAUCUCAGUCCAAGCCACGAAUCGCCUCUCAGAUGGAUACAGCAGUUCUUUGGAUGACAUGUCAAACAGCAUCCUCAUUGACAUCCUUAUAAACCUAGGUCUCUUGGUUAUACUGACACUUAUUUUUUACAUAAUGAACUUUUUGCAUAUUCCAUGCUGAAGCAUAUGCAGUACAUUAAGUUACUAUCAUUCAUUCAUCUGACAAUGGAGUGAAAUGUCUAUAGUGGCCCAAGCACUGAUUUUAGGCAAUAAGAUUUUUAUAGUACUAUUUUAUAGUACUAUUUUAUUUUAUGGAUAGGAUCACCAUGCUAGGUUUUUGUCUUUCUGAGUCUGGCUUAUUUUAGGUCUCAUAUAAGUGACCUCCUUUUGUUUUUCCUUCCCUAGAUUUUUAGAAUAUUCUCUUUAUCCUCUGUGUUCUGAAAUUUAAAGGGACUGUGUCUUUCAUUUCAUUGUUCUAGAGAUUGCUCAGUCAGAAUAGUUUUGUCUAUUGUUGUCUUUUUAAAAUCUUAACUUCUUGGGCCAGACAGAUGGAUGGCUUAGUAGUUGAGAGCACUUGUUGCUCUUGUAGAGGGCCCAGGUUCUAUUCCCAGCACCCGCAGCUGUCUGUAACUCCAGUUCCAGGAAGAUCUAAUGUCCUCUGCUGUCCUCCAUGAGCACUGAAUACAUGGGGCACAAUUACUUGGAGGCAGGACAGUCCUGCACAUAAAAUAAAAAAAAAGAGAUAUAUAUUCUGUUCUUUUCUUUUUAAUUUUGGAACCUUGGGUUGCUCCUGUAUCAACUUUUCUGGAACUCUCUUUGUAGGCUUGGCUAGCCUGGAAUUCAGAGAUCUGCCUACCUCUUCCUCCCUGGGUGCUGGGAUUUAAAGGUGUGUGCCACCACCACCUGACUUCUCAAUAUUUUUUUAAUUUCCAUUUAUUGGAGUAUGUACAAUUUUUCUGUUGUAACCAACAAAUAAUCUACAUGGUUUAAGCACCAUACAAAUAUCUUUGUUUCUAACAGGUAUUCACUUGAUGACUUUAGCAUUCAUUCAUAAUUCUUACCUGAAUCCAUUAUUUUACUAUGUGCUGCAAAAUUAUGGUUUAUCUAAUUCUGUCAUCUCCCAGUUGCCAUCCCUCUGUAAAGAAUUAUCCGUAAGGAGGAACUAUUUCUCCCCCAAAAGGUACAGAUUUUUACUGGAUUGAUUACUAAAUUUCAAAGUAGAAUUAGUGAUUAUUAGUGACAACAUAUUUGUUGAUACGUUUUUCAUGUUGAUGGACUCCUGAAGUUUUAUUUAUUAGAAAUUUUAGAAUUCAGCCAGUCUAUGGUGACACAUCUUUAAUCCCAGCACACAAGAGGCAAAGGCAGGUGGAUCUCUGAGUUUGAGUCCAGGCCAAAACUAUACAGAGAACUUGUCUC